rnacentral:rRNA from 1 species
CCUACGGGAGGCAGCAGUGGGGAAUUUUGGACAAUGGGCGCAAGCCUGAUCCAGCAAUGCCGCGUGAGUGAAGAAGGCCUUCGGGUUGUAAAGCUCUUUUGUCAGGGAAGAAACGGUGAAGGCUAAUAUCCUUUGCUAAUGACGGUACCUGAAGAAUAAGCACCGGCUAACUACGUGCCAGCAGCCGCGGUAAUACGUAGGGUGCAAGCGUUAAUCGGAAUUACUGGGCGUAAAGCGUGCGCAGGCGGUUUUGUAAGUUUGUCGUGAAAUCCCCGGGCUCAACCUGGGAAUGGCGAUGAAGACUGCAAGGCUAGAAUCUGGCAGAGGGGGGUUAGAAUUCCACGUGUAGCAGUGAAAUGCGUAGAGAUGUGGAGGAACACCGAUGGCGAAGGCAGCCCCCUGGGUCAAGAUUGACGCUCAUGCACGAAAGCGUGGGGAGCAAACAGGAUUAGAUACCCUGGUAGUCCACGCCCUAAACGAUGUCUACUAGUUGUCGGGUUUUAAUUAACUUGGUAACCGCAGCUACGUCGUGAGUAGACCGCCGNGGAGGUACGGUCGUCGAGAGUUAAACGUUACUAAGUUAGUUAAGUUAGAGGCGNGAGAGNGCGACGGACGACGACGAGGGAGGAGG